rnacentral:rRNA from 1 species
AGAGUUUGAUCUGGCUCAGAAUCAACGCUGGCGGCGCGCCUAACACAUGCAAGUCGAACGAGAAAGUGGGGCAAUCCAUGAGUACAGUGGCGUACGGGUGAGUAACACGUGGGUAAUCUACCUUUUAGUGAGGAAUAACCAAGGGAAACCAUGGCUAAUACCGCAUAAGCCUGAGAAGGGAAAGCAGCAAUGCGCUGAAAGAGGAGCCCGCGGCCGAUUAGCUAGUUGGCAGGGUAAAAGCCUACCAAGGCAGAGAUCGGUAGCCGGCCUGAGAGGGCACACGGCCACACUGGCACUGAAACACGGGCCAGACUCCUACGGGAGGCAGCAGUGGGGAAUCUCGCACAAUGGGGGAAACCCUGAUGCAGCGACGCCGCGUGAGCGAUGAAGCCCUUCGGGGUGUAAAGCUCUUUCGUCAGGGAAGAUAGUGACGGUACCUGGAGAAGCAGCUGCGGCUAACUACGUGCCAGCAGCCGCGGUAAUACGUAGGCAGCAAGCGUUGUUCGGAGUUACUGGGCGUAAAGGGUGUGUAGGCGGUUCUUUAAGUUUGCUGUGAAAUCUCCCGGCUUAACCGGGAGGGUGCGGUGAAUACUGAGGGACUAGAGUACGGGAGAGGAAAGUGGAAUUCCUGGUGUAGCGGUGAAAUGCGUAGAUAUCAGGAGGAACACCGGUGGUGUAGACGGCUUUCUGGACCGUAACUGACGCUGAGACACGAAAGCGUGGGUAGCAAACAGGAUUAGAUACCCUAGUAGUCC